UACGGAAGGGGCAAGCGUUGUUCGGAAUCAUUGGGCGUAAAGGGCGCGUAGGUGGUUCUGUAUGUCUACCGUGAAAGCGUACGGCUCAACUGUAUUUUGUCGGUGGAAACUGCAGGACUUGAGGCUGGGAGGGGCUGGUGGAAUUCCCUGUGUAGCGGUGAAAUGCGUAGAGAUGGGGGAGAACACUCGUGGCGAAGGCGGCCAGCUAGACCAGUUCCGACACUGAGGCGCGACAGCGUGGGGAGCAAACAGG
rnacentral:rRNA from 1 species